rnacentral:lncRNA from 1 species
UCUAUCUGGCCGACGUUCUUUUGAACAACUGGAACUCGCUGUGGAACAUCUCCACCAACAACUUCUGGAACCGUUAUGGCAGCAUCUUCAUUUCCCUUGGUCUUGAGGAGAUCCAGCCCAAGAUCACCGACUUGCUGUACCAGAACUAUUUCGUGCCGAAGAUCAAUGAGUUGCUCGCCAACGUCAGCAUGGAGGAAUUGGUCAACUACUUCCAGUCGCAGGCCCAGCUCUGGGAGAGUGCCCACUGCCAGGCCUAGAAACGUCCCAUUGUUUCAAUUUUUAAAUAAUAAUAAUAGCAAAGCAGCAAUCUAAAUGUGUUUCACCUUUUAAUGAAGUAAAGUUCGUGCUAAUAUAGUUGCGCAUGAAAAUGCUGCAAAGUGGUGGCAUCUGCAGACGACGUUGUCCUAAUGUUCACGGGAAAUUCCCCCAAUCAC